AGAUUGAACGCUGGCGGCAUGCCUAACACAUGCAAGUCGAACGGGGAGUAGCAAUACUCUAGUGGCGGACGGGUGAGGAAUACGUAGGAAUUUGCCCUUAAGUGGGGGAUAACCCGGGGAAACCCGGAUUAAUACCGCAUGACCUCGAAAGAGCAAAGUGGGGGAUCGCAAGACCUCACGCUUUUGGAGAAGCCUACGUCGGAUUAGCUAGUUGGUGAGGUAAUGGCUCACCAAGGCGACGAUCCGUAACUGGUCUGAGAGGAUGAUCAGUCACACCGGAACUGAGACACGGUCCGGACUCCUACGGGAGGCAGCAGUGGGGAAUAUUGGACAAUGGGCGCAAGCCUGAUCCAGCAAUGACCGCGUGUGUGAAGAAGGCCUCGGUUGUAAGCACUUAAGUUAGGAAGAAAAACUACGACUCUAACCAACAGUACGUAGUCUUGACGGUACCGUACGAAGAACUAAAGACAACCGCGUAAACUACUGU
rnacentral:rRNA from 1 species